GUAGUCUCGCACAGAUGCAUAUCAAUAAGCGGAGGAAAAGAAACUAACAAGGAUUCCCUCAGUAACGGCGAGUGAAGCGGGAAGAGCUCAAAUUUGAAAUCUUGAAAGGUCUACCUUGCACGAAUUGUAGUUUAAAGAAGUGUUUUCUGUUGACGAUCUGGUAAUAUAAGUUCUUUGGAAUAGGACAUCACAGAGGGUGAGAAUCCCGUCUAUGAUUGCAUAUUUGUAGCUGUGUGAUACACUUUCAAAGAGUCGGAUUGUUUGGGAAUGCAGUCCAAAACUGGGUAGGUAAAUUUCAUCUAAAGCUAAAUAUUGGCGAGAGACCGAUAGCGAACAAGUACCGUGAGGGAAAGAUGAAAAGAACUUUGAAAAGAGAGUUAAACAGUACGUGAAAUUGUCGAAAGGGAAGCGUUUAACACCAGUGUUGUUUUCUGAAAAUCAACCUCUGUUAGCUUUAUGCAUGUUUGUUUAGACCUAAUCAGCUAUCUUGCAUGUUCUAUUGUUUGCAGUGGUGCACUUUUCAGUUUACAGGUCAACAUCAGUUUUUUUUACCGUAAAAAAGUUAAAGAAAGGUAGCUCAUGGCUCCGGUCGUGAGUGUUAUAGUCUUUUUCCUAUGCGGUAGGAGAGACUGAGGUCUGCAGUGUAGGCUAUUUGGCUAGAUACUCAGGUGCUAUGUGAUACCAUUUCAUAAACAACUUGUUGAUUAUGUUUUGUCUAUUGCAUACUCGCUUGUACUAUCAUACCUACGCUUAGGAUGUUGAAGAUGUAGCACAUCAU
rnacentral:rRNA from 1 species